rfam:Triticum aestivum genome assembly, contig: Triticum_aestivum_CS42_TGACv1_scaffold_177485_2DS
GAUAUACUCCCUCCGUCCGAAAAAGUUUGUCCCAAACUUGUCCCUCAAAUGGAUGUAUCUAGCACAAACUUGUCCCAAACUUUGUCCCUCAAAUGGAUGUAUCUAGCACUAAAGUGCUAGAUACAUCCAUUUGAGGGACAAGUUUUUUCGGACGGAGGGAGUACAAC